CUAAUCGCAUCUUUCCCUUCGGGGACAGAAGUGACAGGUGGUGCAUGGUUGUCGUCAGCUCGUGUCGUGAGAUGUUGGGUUAAGUCCCGCAACGAGCGCAACCCUUGCCUUUAUUGCCAGCAUUAAGUUGGGCACUCUAGAGGGACUGCCAGGGAUAACCUGGAGGAAGGUGGGGAUGACGUCAAAUCAUCAUGCCCCUUAUGCUUAGGGCUACACACGUGCUACAAUGGGUGGUACAGAGGGCAGCCAAGUCGUGAGGCGGAGCUAAUCCCUUAAAGCCAUUCUCAGUUCGGAUUGUAGGCUGAAACUCGCCUACAUGAAGCUGGAGUUACUAGUAAUCGCAGAUCAGAAUGCUGCGGUGAAUGCGUUCCCGGGUCUUGUACAC
rnacentral:rRNA from 1 species